rnacentral:rRNA from 1 species
CCCUUAGAUGUUCUGGGCAGCACGCGCGCUACAAUGGUCUUCGCAAACGGAUGCAUUCUCGAAGGAGAAUGCCAAUCUUGGAAUCUAUGCCUUGGUCGGGACAGUUGCUUGCAAUUUUUCGACUCGAACCAGGAAUUCCUUGUAAUCGUGAUUCAUCACAUCACGAUGAAUACGUCCCUGCCCUUUGUACACACCGACCGUCGCUCCUACCGAUCGAAGAGUUAGGUGAAUUGUUUUGAUCGAUAAGAUUUGACUAUGGUCAACUCUCGUUGUGAAAUUCUGUGAAUCUGACUGUUUAGAGGAAGGAAAAGUCGUAACA